GUAGGUGGCAAGCGUUGUCCGGGAAUUAUUGGGGCGUAAAGCGCGCGCAGGCGGUUCUUUAAGUCUGAUGUGAAAGCCCACGGGCUCAACCGUGGAGGGUCAUUGGAAACUGGAGAACUUGAGUAUAGAAGAGGAAAGCGGAAUUCCACGUGUAGCGGUGAAAUGCGUAGAGAUGUGGAGGAACACCAGUGGCGAAGGCGGCUUUCUGGUCUGUAACUGACGCUGAGGCGCGAAAGCGUGGGGAGCAAACAGGAUUAGAUACCCUGGUAGUCCACGCCGUAAACGAUGAGUGCUAAGUGUUAGGGGGUUUCCGCCCCUUAGUGCUGCAGCUAACGCAUUAAGCACUCCGCCUGGGGAGUACGGCCGCAAAGGCUG
rnacentral:rRNA from 1 species